rnacentral:snoRNA from 1 species
AUUUGCCAAUCACUAUGACAUGAUCCACUCGGGCUUGGCUGACUGACCUCCCCGAGUACACUAUCAACAGCUGGGCCAAACUGAAGGCCCAGUU